AUCUACUCCGUACUUUCGUUUGUAUAUAUAUGCCCGCUCAUCACACUCAGGUUCGGCUGAAGAGGACCUAAGUGGUCCUAGAACGGCCUGAGGUAGAGGGGUUUUAGUUGGUAGGUCCGAGGACACCUUCCUCGGGAAUCCGACACUACCCAGUCGUACGGACGGCUGGGUGUCUUUUGAAGAUUUCUCCUCUUCCACG
rfam:Agrilus planipennis Contig21964, whole genome shotgun sequence.